rnacentral:rRNA from 1 species
CCUGGCUUAGGAUGAACGCUAGCGACAGGCCUAACACAUGCAAGUCGAGGGGCAGCACAAGGAGCAAUCUGAGGUGGCGACCGGCGCACGGGUGAGUAACACGUAUGCAACCUGCCUGUAAGCGGGGAAUAACCCGUUGAAAGACGGACUAAUACCGCAUAAUACUAAAUUACUGCAUGGUAAUUUAUUUAAACAUUUAUGGCUUACAGAUGGGCAUGCGCAUGAUUAGCUAGUUGGAGAGGUAACGGCUCCCCAAGGCAACGAUCAUUAGGGGUUCUGAGAGGAAGGUCCCCCACACUGGUACUGAGACACGGACCAGACUCCUACGGGAGGCAGCAGUGAGGAAUAUUGGUCAAUGGACGAGAGUCUGAACCAGCCAAGUCGCGUGCAGGAAGAAUGUUCCCUAUGGAUUGUAAACUGCUUUUGCAGGGGAAUAAAGUGCAUCACGUGUGAUGUUUUGUAUGUACUCUGCGAAUAAGGAUCGGCUAACUCCGUGCCAGCCGCCGC